rnacentral:rRNA from 1 species
CAGUAGCCGCGGGAAUACGUAGGUGGCGAGCGUUGUCCGGAAUUAUUGGGCGUAAAGGGAGCGCAGGCGGACAUAUAAGUCCAUCCUAAAAGUGCGGGGCUCAACCCCGUGAGGGGAUGGAAACUGUAUGCCUUGAGUGCAGGAGGGGAAAGCGGAAUUCCCAGUGUAGCGGUGAAAUGCGUAGAUAUUGGGAGGAACACCAGUGGCGAAGGCGGCUUUCUGGACUGCAACUGACACUGAGGCUCGAAAGCCAGGGGAGCGAACGGGAUUAGAGACCCCAGUAGUCCCUGUCUCUUAUACA